rnacentral:rRNA from 1 species
ACGGGUGAGUAACACGUAGGUAACCUGCCCCUUAGCCUGGGAUAACUACCGGAAACGGUAGCUAAUACCGGAUAAUUCCUUGGUUCUCCUGAACUGAGGAUGAAAGGCGGAGCAAUCUGCCCUUAAGGGAUGGGCCUGCGGCGCAUUAGCUAGUUGGUGAGGUAACGGCUCACCAAGGCGACGAUGCGUAGCCGACCUGAGAGGGUGAACGGCCACACUGGGACUGAGACACGGCCCAGACUCCUACGGGAGGCAGCAGUAGGGAAUCUUCCGCAAUGGGCGAAAGCCUGACGGAGCAAUGCCGCGUGAGUGAUGAAGGUUUUCGGAUCGUAAAGCUCUGUUGCCAGGGAAGAACGUCCGGUAGAGUAACUGCUACCGGAGUGACGGUACCUGAGAAGAAAGCCCCGGCUAACUACGUGCCAGCAGCCGCGGUAAUACGUAGGGGGCAAGCGUUGUCCGGAAUUAUUGGGCGUAAAGCGCGCGCAGGCGGCUAUUUAAGUCUGGUGUUUAAACCUUGGGCUCAACCUAAGGUCGCACUGGAAACUGGGUGGCUUGAGUACAGAAGAGGAAAGUGGAAUUC